GUAUUUGCCAGAAGCGGUAGAUUCAAACUGAGGUGGAUGCGAAAAGCUGUUUUUAUUUCUUGUAAUACGGGAUAAUUUAGACUCUAGAGCAAGCACAGACUGCUUAUCCAUGAGAGCAAAGCACUGAAAUCAAGAAAUCAUGUGGAGUUAGAUUAAGAAAAGGAAGGUGAACUCAACUAACUCAGGUCAAAGGUCAAGAAAUUAUCCAGAAAUAUGCCACAAGAUCUACUGGUUGGAUGAAUACGGGUCAAGGACGAGCUGGUAGCUAUCAACAAUCAACUACGACCUUGAAAGAAGCACAGGCUGAUGUUACAAGGAUCAAUAUAAACAGGCACAGACUGCUAUCCAUGAGAGCAAAGCCCUGAAAUCAAGGGUUCAUCUGGAUGUCCUCAGAAGUCACCCAACAUGAAGCAAGCAAUAUGGACUAGAUCAGGAAGAAGUCAUGGUCAUGCUGGAGGGAUUCCAUGACGUUUGCUCCAGCGACAAUUGCUCUGUUGAAAAUUCCACACAUUAAACAAUUGACUAACUUCAACCCUGAAUUUGACACUUUACCCUACCCUAAACCUAACAUAAAACCCUAUUGUAACCCUACAUUGUAGAUAAAAUAAAGCCCAGAGCAAUUGUCGCAGGAGCAAAUGUCUUGUCACCGCUGGAUGAUGGACUCGACAAGCUCAUGCCAAAGGUCAAGAAAAUUAUCAGAAAUAUGCUGCAAGAUCCAGUGUUCACAGUUUUACCUCAUGGCUGGGAGGAGGCUUAUACAGCUGAUAGAAUACAGUUCUACUUAAAUCAUGUCAUUCAGUGUACAACAUGGAUACACCCCCCAUCUGGUGUUAACCGUCUUCCAAGCGUGAAUGAGAGAGAUAGUUUACCAGAGACGAGAGCAUGUCACCAAUCUCGAGAUCUUCACGUACACAGAACGUUUGGUAUGAUCACCUAUUGGUAUUCAUGUGAGGUAUGAUCCAAUAGAGACUUUGGAUUUGACACCAAACCCUUCAUAUACACCUUCCAUUCAUGUGAGGUAUGAUCCAAAAGAGACUUUGGAUUUGACACCAAACCCUUCAUAUACACCCUCCAUUUUGUGUUUGUAAUCUUCCUGGCAUUCCUGAUAAAAAUAGUUCCAGGGAUUUGCUCUUGACACCGGUCACUUUACGCUCUCUGUCUGGUGUUCUCCAUAUUCUAAUAAUUAAAUCUACAUAGUCAAGCACUUGACACCACUCUAUGGAGUGUAUAGAUGGUGCUAACCAUAGUCUUAGUACUCAUAGGGGUGAUUAUCUCUGUAGAAAAUACUUGACACCAAAUAUUAUCUAAAUUCUCUUCUCUGGUGUUAACUAUGUUUUUGAUAUGAGAUUAUCUACUUCGAUGAUUACUUGACACUAAACAUCCAUGUGUCUGGUGAGUUUAGAAUUUCAUGAGAGAGAAGAUAUAUCAGGCACUGGACCUUAGUACCAUAUAUUGUGGCCAGUCUCUGUAUUGUAAUAUAGCAUUAUCACUAGUACAGUCUAUCCUGCUAUAGUGACUACAUGAAUUGAAUUGAAUUGAAUUUAUUAGAACUUCACUGGCAAUUGCCAGCAUUUUGUUCAUAACAAGAAGUACAAAAUGAUACAAGACAAAUAUACAAUGCAAGGAAUAUAAGCAAAUAAACAAAAACAAAAUAGUAUUUCGUCAAAAAGAAAAAAAAGAAAAAAGAAACAACUUGUAAAUUAUACACAAAUAUACACAAUAAACAUAGGAAUCAUUCGGAUAGAUAUUUUGACAAUGGAUAUAGAGACUGAUAUCCAAGAAAAGAUAAAGAAAACAUAAAGAAAGUGAGAGAG